rnacentral:tRNA from 1 species
GCCCCCGUAGCCCAACGGCAGAGGCAGGCGACUUAAAAUCGCUCCAGGUCUGGGUUCGAAUCCCAGCGGGGGCACCA